rnacentral:piRNA from 1 species
UGGGUGAGUGUCAUGAAUGGCUGAGCCACC